rnacentral:rRNA from 1 species
UGACUCUGGCCUGAAAUCAGGUAGGACUACCCGCUGAACUUAAGCAUAUCAAUAAGCGGA